rnacentral:lncRNA from 1 species
AAAAGGGUACUUUUCAAUUCCCUUGGAAGUACCCAUUUAUCCCGGUUGAUCAUAAACCGAGAUAAAGGGGGAGCCUUCUAUCGCGGGUGAUCAUAAACUGAGAUAAAAGGCCCCCCUUUUAUCUCGGUUUGUAUUAGAAACCGGGGUUAAAUUGCCUUUAAUCCUGGUUUCAGUUACAAACCGGGAUAAAAAGGGGGUGCUGUAUAAAAGUUAUAGCGUCUUCUACACCCC